AACGAACGCUGGCGGCAGGCCUAACACAUGCAAGUCGAACGCCCCGCAAGGGGAGUGGCAGACGGGUGAGUAACGCGUGGGAACCUUCCCAGUGGUACGGAAUAACCCAGGGAAACCUGAGCUAAUACCGUAUACGCCCGAAAGGGGAAAGAUUUAUCGCCAUUGGAUGGGCCCGCGUCGGAUUAGCUAGUUGGUGAGGUAACGGCUCACCAAGGCGACGAUCCGUAGCUGGUCUGAGAGGAUGAUCAGCCACACUGGGACUGAGACGCGGCCCAGACUCCUACGGGAGGCAGCAGUGGGGAAUAUUGGACAAUGGGCGCAAGCCUGAUCCAGCCAUGCCGCGUGAGUGAAGAAGGUCUUCGGAUUGUAAAGCUCUUUUGGCGGGGACGAUAAUGACGGUACCCGCAGAAUAAGCCCCGGCUAACUUCGUGCCAGCCGCCGCGGUAAUAC
rnacentral:rRNA from 1 species